rnacentral:rRNA from 1 species
ACGAACGCUGGCGGCGUGGAUAAGACAUGCAAGUCGAACGGGAGAAUUGCUAGCUUGCUAAUAAUUCUCUAGUGGCGCACGGGUGAGUAACACGUGAGUAACCUGCCUCUUAGUGGGGGAUAGCCCUGGGAAACCGGGAUUAAUACCGCAUACGAUUGAAAGAUCAAAGCAGCAAUGCGCUAGGAGAUGGGCUCGCGGCCUAUUAGUUAGUUGGUGAGGUAACGGCUCACCAAGGCGAUGACGGGUAGCCGGUCUGAGAGGAUGUCCGGCCACACUGGAACUGAGACACGGUCCAGACACCUACGGGUGGCAGCAGUCGAGAAUCAUUCACAAUGGGGGCAACCCUGAUGGUGCGACGCCGCGUGGGGGAAUGAAGGUCUUCGGAUUGUAAACCCCUGUCAUGUGGGAGCAAAUUAAAAAGAUAGUACCACAAGAGGAAGAGACGGCUAACUCUGUGCCAGCAGCCGCGGUAAUACAGAGGUCUCAAGCGUUGUUCGGAAUCACUGGGCGUAAAGCGUGCGUAGGCUGUUUCGUAAGUCGUGUGUGAAAGGCAGGGGCUCAACCCCUGGAUUGCACAUGAUACUGCGAGACUAGAGUAAUGGAGGGGGAACCGGAAUUCUCGGUGUAGCAGUGAAAUGCGUAGAUAUCGAGAGGAACACUCGUGGCGAAGGCGGGUUCCUGGACAUUAACUGACGCUGAGGCACGAAGGCCAGGGGAGCGAAAGGGAUUAGAUACCCCUGUAGUCCUGGCAGUAAACGGUGCACGCUUGGUGUGCGGGGAAUCGACCCCCUGCGUGCCGGAGCUAACGCGUUAAGCGUGCCGCCUGGGGAGUACGGUCGCAAGAUGAUAACUCAAAGAAAGUCACGGGGAAACGAAGAAGUGGUGGAGUAUGUGGCUUAAUUCGAUGCAACGCGAAGAACCUUACCUGGGCUUGACAUGUAAUGAACAACAUGUGAAAGCAUGCGACUCUUCGGAGGCGUUACACAGGUGCUGCAUGGCCGUCGUCAGCUCGUGUCGUGAGAUGUUUGGUUAAGUCCAGCAACGAGCGCAACCCCUGUUGCCAGUUACCAGCACGUCAAGGUGGGGACUCUGGCGAGACUGCCCAGAUCAACUGGGAGGAAGGUGGGGACGACGUCAGGUCAGUAUGGCCCUUAUGCCCAGGGCUGCACACGUACUACAAUGCCCAGUACAGAGGGGGCCGAAGCCGCGAGGCGGAGGAAAUCCUGAAAACUGGGCCCAGUUCGGACUGUAGGCUGCAACCCGCCUACACGAAGCCGGAAUCGCUAGUAAUGGCGCAUCAGCUACGGCGCCGUGAAUACGUUCCCGGGUCUUGUACACACCGCCCGUCACAUCAUGGAAGCCGGUCGCACCCGAAGUAUCUGAAGCCAACCGCAAGGAGGCAGGGUCCUAAGGUGAGACUGGUAACUGGGAUG